rnacentral:rRNA from 1 species
UACGUAGGGGGCGAGCGUUGUCCGGAAUCAUUGGGCGUAAAGCGCGUGUAGGCGGCUCGAUAAGUCCGGUGUGAAACCUUGGGGCUCAACCCCAAGCCUGCACUGGAUACUGCCGAGCUAGAGUCCGGGAGGGGAGAGCGGAAUUCCUAGUGUAGCGGUGAAAUGCGCAGAUAUUAGGAAGAACACCGGUGGCGAAGGCGGCGCUCUGGAACGGUACUGACGCUGAGACGCGAAAGCGUGGGGAGCGAACAGG